rnacentral:rRNA from 1 species
UACAGAGGAGCCAAGCGUUGUCCGGAUUGACUGGGCGUAAAGAGCGCGCAGGCGGUCGAUCAAGUCGAGUGUGAAAGCCCCCGGCUCAACUGGGGAGGGUCAUUCGAUACUGAUCGACUCGAAGGCAGGAGAGGGUAGUGGAAUUCCCGGUGUAGUGGUGAAAUGCGUAGAUAUCGGGAGGAACACCAGUGGCGAAGGCGACUACCUGGCCUGUUCUUGACGCUGAGGCGCGAAAGCUAGGGGAGCAAACGGG